rnacentral:rRNA from 1 species
AUUUAAGAUGUAUAUAAAGUGAAUGUUAGAGUAGUAGUAGCUAAGUUCUUGAAACUCAAAAAAUUUGGCGGUAUUUUAGACCAUUCAGAGGAACCUGUAGUAUAAUUGAUAAUCCACGAUGGACCUUACUUAAAUUUGUUUUUCAGUUUGUAUACCGCCGUUAUUUGAAAAUUUUAUUAGAAAAAUAAUUUUCAGAGAUUUUUAUAUAGAAAGUAAAUCAGGUCAAGGUGCAGCUUAUAUUUAAGUAUUUAUGGGUUACAAUAAAUUUAUUUAAACGGAUUAGAGUGUGAAAUUUAUUUUAUGAAGGUGGAUUUGAAAGUAAAUUUUUAUAGAUAAAAAUUUUGAUUUUGGCUCUAAAAUAUGUACAUAUCGCCCGUCACUCUUAUUAAUAAUAUAAGAUAAGUCGUAACAUAGUAGAUGUACCGGAAGGUGUAUCUAGAAUGACAAUUUAAAGCUUAUAAAGUAAAGUAUUUCAUUUACACUGAAAAGAUUGUUGUGCAAAUCAAUAUAAAUUGAUAUUAUAUAAUUAUUAAUUUUAUUAUUUUUUAUUAAUUUUUAUUAGAAAUAACUAUAAUGUUAUUUUGUUAAAGUAUUUUAUAAAGAAAUAAUUUUUUUAAUGAUAGUUUAUUAAGUAAUUUGAAUGAAUUUUGAAAUAGUUGAAAAAUAUUUAUUGUUAAAGAAA